GUCCUCUUAGCACCCAUCAGGCCAAGUUUCUUAGAACUUCCUUGGAUAAGAUGAUUGUCACUGAGCCAUUGAUGUGAUUUGUAUUGGAUGGGGGGGGGAAUCCUGAAAACAUGGCCUUGUGAGGACCUCUGGGGUAAUCAUCUGUUUUGGCCUCUUGUGUCCUGUUGGGGGCGCUCCUCCCACACAGCUGUAUCUAUACUGGAAUGAGGGAUGCUGGGACUUGUAGUUGAAGCUGAUUGGACGGAUGGCUAACAAGUGUUUUUCUUUCUUGCAGUGAUGAAGAAGAACAUCCAGAAGACGCGACCAGCGAUGGAUGGGAACUCGGGUGAUGAAGAACAUCCAGAAGACGCGACCAGCGAUGGAUGGGAACUCGGGGAAUGGUGAUUGGACGAGGCGGCUCCAGAGGACGGCUCACCAAUUGAUUGGAAUUUGAGGUAGAAAUUGGGGGUCAGCAUUCUAAGGGAUGACCCCCCCCCCCCAGGUAUUGCCCCUGAUGACCCCGCCCCCAUACUCCUGCAAUCGCGGCCAUUACUGAAUUAUAGGGGGGGGGGGGGGGUUGAAGCUCCAGUUUACUGGGAUAGUCAUGGGGCAGAUUUGUGCCAAACAUUUGCCAACUUAAGUAGAUUGGGUUUUAUAGAUGUAAGCAGCCAAUGAGAUUUGGUCCCUCCCAUGAAUAUUGGAACGGCCACUGAGCGCAAAUGUGAGGCUGGAGAUGUGAUUCCCCUCCCCCCCCCCCCCCCC